GUAGUCUUAGGUGUCUGGAGAAGUCGCCCGGUUUCUGCUUGCUGGUCGCGAAAUUUUAUAGCUAUAAUUAACUCAGGGCGGAACAGCUAGCAGAAUCCUCAGCGUUCGGGCAAAGGGCAGAGAAUCCAGCCAGAAGCAACAUGUAGAUCUAAUGACCUUCUCCAGGAGUCGAGGACCCACUACCUCGCUGAAUUCUCAGAGUCAAAAUGCGUCUCUACCUGCUGGUCCCAGAACAGUCCCCUGCUGCUGCAUUGAAUGAAUCUCAUCUCACUUCCUCGAGUCAGCCCUACCUAUAUUUGAUGAUCACAAACCUUAUCCUUACGUUGCCAGCAGUAACAUUCUGCAUCCCUCACCCACUCCACUGUGUCCUUUUCCUCCCACUGAUCUUCACUCUGCCUUUUCUAGGGGAACUCUGAACAGUAUUUCUGAGAAGGGGAUGAAGAUCGUCUCCCAAGUAAAUAUGUUGAGUUUGACUGGGCACCGUGGCCCACACCUGUAAUCCCAGCACUUUGGGAGGCCAAGGCGGGCAGAUCACUUGAGGCCAGGAGUUCGAGACCACCCUGGCCAACAUGAUGAAACCCUGUCUCUACUAAAAAUACAAAAAUUGGCCCGGCAUGGUGGCAUGCACCUGUAAUCACAGCUACUCAGGAGGUUGAGGCAGGAAAAUCACUUGAACCUGGGAAGUGGAGGUUGCAGUGAGCCAUGAUCAUACCACUGCACUCCAGCCUGGGUGACAGAGUGAUACUCCGUGUCAAUAAUUAAAUAAGUAAAUAAAUAAGUUGAGGUCAACUUUCAAAUGAUCGUCAUGAGAAAGCUACACAGUAUUAAGUAAGUGUGGUUUAGCCAGAAGAAAAAGAACCAGGUAGAAUUCACACCCAGCUCUCGGUAGAUGGCAGAUUUCACUUUAGGGAACUGCUUUCCUUUGACCCCCUCCCCACUUGCUUUCUUGGCCUGGGAUCCUCACUCCAGCAUGUCGUGCAGUCUUCAGAAUGCGAUAUCCUUUUCCUUACGACUCUUCUAGCAAUUAAUGUAAUUUGCCUGAACAUUUAAAAAAUGACCUCUCAUAAUUUCAUAAUCUGAAUCUUUAUGUGUCUUUCUUGAUCCCCAGGGCAUAGAGAAGGUUACCUGGCCCAGACUAGAUGUGCAGUAAAUGGUUUUUGUAUGUGUGAAUGAAUGGAAGACUGAAGUUAGUUAUUAUAGAUGAGAUAUUAUGGGGCCAUUCCGAGUCCGGUAUUCAAGGAGUUUGCAAAGUUGCAGAUGACAAGUUUGCUAAUGUGUGCUGAGUGUUCGUGCCUAGUAGCAUGUUAAGUGGUUUGCUUGGGUUGUUUCAUUCAGUCCUCACAGCGGACUCGUGAAUUAAGUGCUGUUAUUAUCACGUUUUUGCAGAUGAGGAAACUGAGGCUCAAAGAAGAUAAUGUGCCCAAGGUCACCUCGCUAGGAAAGAGUGGAGCUGAGAUUUAAACUGUGACUUUAAGCCCAAGUUCAAGGCUUCUUACUAGUUUUAACUACAUUCCCAUACCCCUUUUAAUCAAUCAUGUAAAUAAAAUCUUAAUUCUUUUAAAAAAUUAAUAUGUGUUUCAGCUUGUCCUGUAGAGAAGACUAAUACUUACAAAUGGGAAAUAUUCGUCAAGCUUUAUUUUUUCUAGUUUGUCUUAUGAAAUUAAGUUUUUCAGCCUUUCCCAAUAUAAAGCUAUAUUUUAUAUUAAAUAUGCUUUUUAUUUAUUUUUUUGAGACGGAGUUUUGCGCUUUUUGCCCAGGCUGGAGUGCAAUGGCGCAAUCUCAGCUCACUGCAACCUCUGCCUCCCAGGUUCAAUCGAUUCUCCUGUCUCAGCCUCCCAAGUAGCUGGGAUUACAGGCGUGUGCCACCAAGCCCGGCUAAUUUUUGUACUUUUUAGUAGAGACAGGGUUUCACCAUAUUGUUCAGGCUGGUCUUGAACUCCUGACCUCGUGAUCCACCCACCCUUGGCCUCCCAAAGUGCUGGGAUUACAGG
ensembl:lncRNA LCMT1-AS1 LCMT1 antisense RNA 1